rnacentral:lncRNA from 1 species
CAAACCCUAGGGUACUUGUCACAUGUCCUCCAUGCCCGUGGUCUGUCAGUCAAAAACCGGCCCAUUUGUCCCGAAAAAGAAGAAGGUUCAGAGGUUGUUAUAGGAACAUCAAGGUCUAAAUUACCAUCUUCCAUAACCGAGGUGGCGAAAAUGGUAGUAGUUGUGGCCACUAUUGCAAGGAAGAUGAACAUCUUAGACAAUGCCAUUUCUAAUAAUAUUGCUUCAAGAUGGCUAACGAUUAUAUAUGUUUUGUUGAAUAUUUGGUAGCAGUGGUUUGUGGAUGCUAAGUAAGGGAUGUUGUGAGGGUAUUUAUAGGAGAAACUAUUACUAAGUAGAUAAUUUUGGUGCCACCUUACCUAUCUUGUAAUGCUAGUCUUAAUCAGUGUUACAUGCAAGUAAAGUGAAAUUGGGCAAUAGAUUAAGAAUUAUGCUUCAAGUCUCGUAUGAAGUACAAAUGUGGGGGCAAAUUGACCUUGAAAGUGGGCAAUAGGAGAAGCAUUACGAUUUACAUUAGGUCAAUAUUGCAUGCGGUACAUAGAAUUGUUAUGUAUCAUGCUAUUCUUAGGUCUAGAUUAGGAUUUUGAUUGUAGUGAAAAACUCGCUUACGGUUUCAUAUGAUUGUUCUUGAAUCAAUGGUACAUAUGGAAUGCGGUGUUAAUGUGAAAACUUGCGUACGGGUUAAUAUGUGUGCGAAACAAUUAUAAAUACAGUAUCAUGCUCCGUAUUCAUCGCUUGCUACUCAAUUCCUUCGUUUUUCGGUAUUUCUCUCUUUUUGAUUUACUUAUAUAUAGAUAAAUAAAUAUUACAAAAAAGGUGAUUAUUUAUUACCGUCAGUUUUGACAGGGGACUAUUUUGAUAAAAAAAAACAGUCAAACUUGAAAUCAGUCGAUGAUAUACGAUAAGUAGGAAAAUAUAACCAAAAGAGAUCAUAGAUAUAAUUCAAUCAAAAUUAAACAGUCAAAAAUAUAAUUAAUUUUGACAUGGAUGUGUUGAUCGAAAUUAUCCACCACAUAAAGUUAAUUUCCGCUCACUGUUUUGAUCGGAAAUGUACGUAGCCCGUUAAAAUUAAUUUACGGACGGAACUUUUACGGCCUUCUCCGAGCAAAUAAAUUUCAAAAUAAUUUAUGUCAAUUUUAAGACGGCGACCAUUUCAUGUCAAAUUUUAUCAUUAAAUAAUUUUUUAACUUCUAAUUCGAUUACAAAAGAAAUACAAAUAAUGACACGUGUCUAUGCAAAAUGGACAAUUUAUAUUUCGAGGAGAAAGUAGUACUGUUAUAAUUAUAAUUAUAUAUAUUUGACGAACAAGAUCUUAUGAUACAAACUGCUUAUUAAUAAGAUAUAAAAAAUAUUUAAAAAACCCUAAUGCUUGGUGAACUUUCUGCUACUUGGCCAUACAAUUCAAAUUCAGUCGACCGCACUACUGACUCAUACCUUGUUCUUCUAUAUUCUUCUUAUUAAUUUAGAAAUCAAAUCUGUUAUAUCAGCAUUCUAGCUAGCCAUCUGUGUUUAUUGGUAAUUACGAAAAUUAAGAUGGUAUAGCGUUCACGUCUUUGCUGCCUCUAUAUAAUUUGACCAUGCCUUCGUCAACUGUUAAAGUUUGGUUUAGUUCCAGUACCGCAAGCAGUUUUGAAUUUAAUGCUCUGGUGUGAAUUUGGUGCGAAGCAGCUAGUAGCUAACACAAAAAUUUAUACGUUUACAUUAAUGCAGAGAAAUUAAAUAUUGAAAGUUAAUUAAGCUAGACUCGUAAACAAAGCAAUGAUGCUAGAGCUUAGGACAACUGAAAAUAAAAACAAAUAAAGAGAUAACUAAUUAAUUUGAUACUCUGAAGCUUUCGGGGAUUGCUCAUUAAAGAAAUUAAGUUUGCUACCGAAUAAUAAAUUUCAUGUAUUUUCUGCUUAAAUAGUAUUUUAUAGGAGUUUUAAAAUACAUGUCAGCGUGUCCAUCUCAUUAAUUCAGAAUUUUGAGGAACAUGAGUAGCACACAAAUAUCAAACAGAAUCUGUGUUUAUCUUAAACAUUAUUCUGCUAUUGUGUCUGUUCAAUUUUCUGAAACAUUCAAGUCAAGUUGUGGCGAUGAGGAACUUACCAUGUGCAGUGGUGCAGUUUAUCAGAGUGAAUAAAGCAGCUCAACAUGUUCUGAUAUUCACAGUUCACUCAUGCAAAUCGAUUAGAACUGUUACAUAUAAUUUGUAUACAAUGUCAGAUGUACAUGAAUGUAUCGCUGAUUAUAUACAUUGUUGACGAUGAAUUUAUUUAUAAUAAUUGACUUUAACCAUAUAUAGAUUCAUGCCUAGUGCUAAUUAAGUUCUUCUUCAACUUAAAAAUAUUAGAGAGUUCUUUUUUUCACGAUGCUUAUAUAUACUGCUGCUUUACACUUGAAAUCCCAUGCAUUUCUGAAUUGAACAUUAGAUACAAACACCAUUUCUGGCCAGCAGAGAGUCGAGUAUUUUAUAUGUCGAAAGACUCCAAACUGUCCCACUUUUGAGUAGCUGGGAGUUGAACUUGUAUACUCUAAACUCUGAUAUUGAAUUAAGUAAAUAGUUAUCUUAAAACUGAAAAAUUGUGCUUGAAUGGAAAAGAAUGAGUUAAAGAAUGAAAUUAAAAGGCUUGUUCGGAAGUACCGUUCAAAACUGUUCGUAAAAAUGUGAUGCUGUUCGAUAAUAAAAUAUGUGACAAUGCUGGAAAACAACUUUUUCUAGUUACACGCUCCGAAUGCGGACACCCUUUAUUUUUCAUACAACUAUCAACAAAUAUCCUUACUAUAUGUACUUUCUUAACUAAUAUACACUCUUACAUAUCUUCAUGAUUGUUUGGACAAUUCUACGUAAUGUGUUGUAGAUUUUGAUCAGGCAUAGCUACACAUCCCAUACACGCACGAACUUCCUCUCUUGCACCUCUUUUUGCAGCUGCCGCAGUUCUUCUCGUCUCUUGAAGUAUUCACACACCUACCUUUGCAGCACGUCUCAUUAUAUCUGCAUUUCUUCCCACACUUGCCACAAUUAGCCUCAUCGCUCAUCACAUUCACGCAUUUCUUCUUGCAGCAGUCCGGACCAGGGCUGCCCUUGUUGUUGCAAACCCUAGGGUACUUGUCACAUGUCCUCCAUGCCCGGGGUCUGUCAGCCAAAAACCGGCCCAUUUGUCCCGAAGAAGAAGACGGUUCAGAGGUUGUUAUAGGAACAUCAAGGUCCAAAUUACCAUCUUCCAUAACCGAGUUGGCGAAAAUGGUAGUAGUUGUGGCCACUAUUGCAAGGAAGAUGAAGAUCUUAGACCAUGCCAUUUCUAAUAUUGCUUGAAGAUGGCUAA